AUUGAACGCUGGCGGUAUGCUUAACACAUGCAAGUCGAACGGUAACAGGCCUUCGGGCGCUGACGAGUGGCGGACGGGUGAGUAACGCGUAGGAAUCUGCCUCAUAGUGGGGGACAACGUGGGGAAACUCACGCUAAUACCGCAUACGCCCUACGGGGGAAAGCGGGGGAUCUUCGGACCUCGCGCUAUGAGAUGAGCCUGCGUUAGAUUAGCUAGUUGGUAGGGUAAAGGCCUACCAAGGCGACGAUCUAUAGCUGGUCUGAGAGGACGAUCAGCGACACUGGGACUGAGACACGGCCCAGACUCCUACGGGAGGCAGCAGUGGGGAAUAUUGGACAAUGGGCGCAAGCCUGAUCCAGCAAUACCGCGUGUGUGAAGAAGGCCCUAGGGUUGUAAAGCACUUUCAAUUGGGAGGAAAACCUGCCGGUCAAUACCCGGCAGCUUGACAUUACCUUUAGAAGAAGCACCGGCUAACUCCGUGCCAGCCGCCGCGGUAA
rnacentral:rRNA from 1 species